rnacentral:rRNA from 1 species
GUGGGGAAUAUUCCGCAAUGGACGAAAGUCUGACGGAGCAACGCCGCGUGAGUGAUGAAGGUUUUCGGACUGUAAAGCUCUGUUGUUUAGGACGAAAGUGCCUGUUGCGAAUAGUUACAGGUAUUGACGGUACUGAACGAGGAAGCCACGGCUAACUACGUGCCAGCAGCCGCGGUAAUACGUAGGUGGCAAGCGUUGUCCGGAAUUAUUGGGCGUAAAGAGCAUGUAGGCGGGAAUCUAAGACUGUUGUGAAAAUGCGGGGCUCAACCCCGUAUUGCGAUGGAAACUGGGUUUCUUGAGUGCAGGAGAGGAAAGGGGAAUUCCCAGUGUAGCGGUGAAAUGCGUAGAUAUUGGGAGGAACACCAGUGGCGAAGGCGCCUUUCUGGACUGUGUCUGACGCUGAGAUGCGAAAGCCAGGGUAGCGAACGGGAUUAGAAACCCCUGUAGUCC